rnacentral:rRNA from 1 species
AUUGAACGCUGGCGGCAGGCCUAACACAUGCAAGUCGAGCGGGGUUUUCGGACCUAGCGGCGGACGGGUGAGUAAUGCGUAGGAAGCUGCCCGAUAGAGGGGGAUACCAGUUGGAAACGACUGUUAAUACCGCAUAAUGUCUACGGACCAAAGUGUGGGACCUUCGGGCCACAUGCUAUCGGAUGCGCCUACGUGGGAUUAGCUAGUUGGUGAGGUAAUGGCUCACCAAGGCGACGAUCUCUAGCUGGUUUGAGAGGAUGAUCAGCCACACUGGAACUGAGACACGGUCCAGACUCCGACGGGAGGCAGCAGUGGGGAAUAUUGGACAAUGGGCGCAAGCCUGAUCCAGCCAUGCCGGGUGUGUGAAGAAGGCCUUCGGGUUGUAAAGCACUUUCAGCGAGGAGGAAGGGAUGUAUGUUAAUAGCAUGCAUUUUUGACGUUACUCGCAGAAGAAGCACCGGCUAACUCUGUGCCAGCCGCCGCCGUAAAAC